AAGCUGGGCCGGAUGACCGCUGCCAAAUGGGGUAAAACCCGUUGGGAGAGGAAAGUCCGAACACCUUGUUUAGGCCAGUCCUAGACAAAAAUAUGGGUGAUGGAUAACGUCCAUCGCACGUCCAGCAAUGGCCGUGUAGGGAAAGUGCCACAGAGACAAUACUACCUGAUCCCGCAUGGGUUCAGCGAAAGGUGAAAAGUCUGCGGAAGUAUACCUGUUCUCAUUUUUGAGGGCUAACCCGCUACCGCAGAAUUGCAUACGGCAACGUAUGUGAGUGGUAAACCCCACCUGGUGCAAGAGCAAGAGAGAAGAGGCCUCACGGCCGAUUCUCGGUAGCUCGCUCGACCUUCGUGGCAACGCGAAGGCUAGAUAGAUGGUCAUCGCUACGCAAGUAGUACAGAAUUCGGCUUACAAGCCCAGCUUAAGC
rnacentral:RNase_P_RNA from 2 species